rnacentral:rRNA from 1 species
UACGUAGGGUGCAAGCAUUAAUCGGAUUUAUUGGGCGUAAAGGGCGCGUAGGCUGGAUGGAAAGUCAGAUGUGAAAUCCCGGGGCUCAACCUCGGAACUGCAUUUGAAACUCCCAUUCUAGAGGGUAGGCGGAGAAAACGGAAUUCCACAAGUAGCGGUGAAAUGCGUAGAUAUGUGGAAGAACACCGGUGGCGAAGGCGGUUUUCUAGCUUAUACCUGACGCUGAUGCGCGAAAGCAAGGGGAUCAAAC